rnacentral:rRNA from 1 species
UACAGAGGAUGCAAGCGUUAUCCGGAAUGAUUGGGCGUAAAGCGUCUGUAGGUGGCUUUUCAAGUCCGCCGUCAAAUCCCCGGGCUCAACCUGGGAAUGGCGAUGGAUACUGGGCAGCUAGAGUGUGUCAGAGGAUGGUGGAAUUCCCGGUGUAGCGGUGAAAUGCGUAGAGAUCGGGAGGAACAUCAGUGGCGAAGGCGGCCAUCUGGGACAACACUGACGCUGAAGCACGAAAGCGUGGGGAGCAAACAGG